AUGGAAUGUGGGUGUGACUCACAGGAGCUGCAACUGCGGAAAGCAAAAACCCAUCUGUGCAUUCACUCACUUGGCAGACAAAUGGCAAGGUGUAUACAAGAGCUCCAAAGCAGUAACAGAAGUAGCCCAGUUGAGUACAAUGGCACAAGAAAAAUCAGAUUUGGAAGUUUUGGAGAAGGUUGAAAGUGAAACAUCAGAUUAGUCCUGCAUGGACAAUGAAGAUGAUAAUGAUUUUGACAUUGGCCAUGUGAACCAAAGUUCCUAUACAGUGAAAUGGAGCAAGAAUUAACCAAUACAGAUACAGAGAAUGCAGACCUUCCUGAUUCAGAUGAUGAAGAAAACAGCAAUUGAGCCCUUAUGUUUUCAGUCUACCUCUGAAGAAUUUUAUACCCAUGUAAGUAUUCAUGAACUGCAUGGUUUUUUUCCCUUUGGCUUAACAGUUUCAAUUUAUGUGAAUUGUAUUAUUCUGCCUCAUGGUUUUCUUUUUUUCUCAAGGUUUCAUUUUUCACAGGAAUUGUGCAAGAAAACGAAGUUAUUCGGUCUAGGACUUUCUCAAGUGGUGUUUGCAACAGAAUUGCACUUAUACCUGCUAAAGGGUAAACCACAGAAUGUUUCAGUGGACUUGAGCAAACGACUGGGGCCAGUUUUCCUUCCUGUAACAUCUCAGCUUAGGGUGCCCUAACUCACCAACCAAACAGGUUUGCAUCUAGGAUUUUCCACACAACCAGUGAACUGCCUAAAAGCCACCUGCUGUGAAAAUCUUCCAUUAGAAAUGCCUCUCCUGAGUUUGCCUUCCUGGACACUGUGCAGGUCCGCCCUGUCUCAGUGCAGUCAAAUUCUUUGUUUCUCAAGUAAUUCCAUUUCCUUUUACUUCAACGUCAGUAUUUUAAAUUACUUAACAGUAUAUAAGAUGAGGCGUGAACAUGCUGUAGGGAUCUAUUUUUAAAUACAGUCAUUUGAACUAAUCACCCUCUAAAAGGCAACAAUGGUCACUGGAUUUAAAAAAAUCUUAACAUCAUUGUGUUAGUCUCCUGUCAACCACUGGACGGGAUGUUUGAGCAAAUCCAUUCAAAAGGAGGAAAGAUUUAUUACGAAUCAACGUUUCUGAGGUUUCAGUCUGCAGUCGGCUGACUCUGUUGUUCUGGGGCCAGUGGCAAGGCAGGAUGUCACAGUGGGAGCGCAUGGCAAAGGGAAACUCAGCUCAUGGUGGCCAUCAAGCAGAGAGAGAUGGGGAGGAGCCAAGGUCUGAAUAUUCCCAGGAGGACCAGCCCUCGGUGACGUAACUUCCCUCCCCCAGCCCCAGACCCUAAAGGCUCCAGCAUUUCCCAACAGCACCACAGGCUGGUGCCCAAGCCUUUAGGGUUAUGGGCCUUUUGGGCGACACUUAUUGUCCAAAUAGUAAUAAUCAGGGGUGACAACACAGCAAGGAAUGGCUAGAGAAAAUUCUAGGAGAAAAACAGCCCAGAAGAUGAAGGGGGGAAUAUCAGUAUCAAAAUCAAAUUUUCCAUAGAUCAUUUACUGAUACUAUGAAUGUCUGCAACUUCAGGAGACAAGAGGGACAGAAACAUGGCUUAUCUAAGGAAGAGAUGUUUAUCAGAGAUGGGCCCAGAACUGCACUAGAAAUGAAAAGAACUCUGCCCUCCUGGCUAGAGCAAACCAUAAGUACAUCUGCAUUUUUCUGAGCUCCUGAGUACUGCAGGGAAGGCAGCUGUCAUAUUGAAUGGAAUGUUAAAAAGGAGGCAGGGGAUUUAGCUCAGUGGCACCGUGCCUGCCUCGCAAGCACAAGGUCCUGAGUUUGAUCCCUGGUACCCCCCAAAUUAAAUUAAAUUAAAAAGGAAUAGAAAUAUAAAAAAAUGUGUGGCCCAGUCAUUGUGAAGUCACAGCCCAAGUUCCCCUAACAUGGUAAACCCCACUCUGCACAUUGGGCUCAAAGGGUGGAGCUCAAAUGACACUGCCAAGUCUGGUUGGUUGGACAGCUGAAUUCUCCCCAGAAGAAAGAACUCUCAUCCUACACUUCAGGGAAUCCCAACAAAUAGUUUUACAAAGGGAAAUGAGCAUCAGAGUCAAAGUCAACCAAAACUCACAAAGAAAUAUGUCCCAUUGAAUGAGAACCUGCAGAAACAAAAGUUAAAGAAUGAUGCAGUGACUAUAGGGCAGAGAAACAAUUAAGGCUGGAGAAUUUAAUUAGUAAAUUAUGUGGCUGUGGCAACUAUCCCACGGUAUACACGGGAAGAAAAUAGGUCACAAGGCUACUGUGAUUUUGAAGAAAUUGUACUAUGAAAGGAAUUAAGAUCCUAGACUUCAAAAAGCAUUUGCAUACCCAAAAUGUCAUGGACAAUAAGUGGACUUACUCCAAGGAAAAUAUAACCAUUAAAAUCCACUUCCAACGGGGCCAAGGAGGAAAGUGGACAAGGAAGAACCUGUACAGACGUACAACGCCGGUGGAACACAAUGUUGGGCACAGUAAGACCUUACAGAGGAAUGUAGGAACUUAGGAAUCUGGGAACGCAGAAUGCAAAGCAUUCCUAAGUCCUUCCUGAUGUUCCAUAGAUAAACAUGCUUGGAGCAACAGAGCUAAGCAGGGCGAGAAAGAUAAUUUAGUACAAGGAAAUUUGUUCCGGCACGAUUUUCCUCAUUUAUAGAGUAUGGCGUGCUGUUGUGUGACAAUGCUUCUGUGACUCUUUUUGAGACAUCUCGUCCCCACUCUGGGUGUCUCAGGAUCGUGUGUGUCCACCCUCUCAGACUUCUUUGAAGCCGUCUUCGAGGCGCUGCCUUAAUCCUCCCUGAGGUCUUGGUGAUGACAACACACUCAGAUAGCCUUUGCCCUAAACCUGUGCUUUAGAAUGACUUUCCAGUUUCAAAUGUUGGUCAUUUUCAUUGUCCACAGUUUGAGAUGAGAACCAGUCUCACUUCCUGAAAAUUGUGAAACCCUG
ensembl:lncRNA